AUGUUCUCCAUUAAAAUUUUGACCAGAGCCCGUGAGUAUGGCCUUGGUGGAGCCAACUGCUGUAGACAGGCUGCGGGCUUUGCUGCCGUGAAAGUGAAGAUUAAGUGCUGGAAAGGCGUGGCCACUUGGCUCUGGGUGGCCAAAGAUGAGAACUGCAGCAUCUGCAGGGUAGUGUUUAACUGCUGCUGCCCCGACUGCAAGGUGCCUGGCGACAACUGUCCGCUGGCGUGGGGCCAGUGCUCCCACUGCUUCCACAUGCACUGCAUCCUCAAGUGGCUUCACGCACAGCAGGUGCAGCAGACACUGCCCCAUGUGCCUCCAGGAGUGGCGGUUCAAGGAGUGA